GCGAACGGACGAGAAGCUUGCUUCUCUGAUGUUAGCGGCGGACGGGUGAGUAACACGUGGACAACCUACCUAUAAGACUGGGAUAACUUCGGGAAACCGGAGCUAAUACCGGAUAAUAUUUUGAACCGCAUGGUUCAAAAGUGAAAGACGGUCUUGCUGUCACUUAUAGAUGGAUCCGCGCUGCAUUAGCUAGUUGGUAAGGUAACGGCUUACCAAGGCAACGAUGCAUAGCCGACCUGAGAGGGUGAUCGGCCACACUGGAACUGAGACACGGUCCAGACUCCUACGGGAGGCAGCAGUAGGGAAUCUUCCGCAAUGGGCGAAAGCCUGACGGAGCAACGCCGCGUGAGUGAUGAAGGUCUUCGGAUCGUAAAACUCUGUUAUUAGGGAAGAACAUAUGUGUAAGUAACUGUGCACAUCUUGACGGUACCUAAUCGGAAAGCCACGGCUAACUACGUGCCAGCAGCCGCGGUAAUACGUAGGUGGCAAGCGUUAUCCGGAAUUAUUGGGCGUAAAGCGCGCGUAGGCGGUUUUUUAAGUCUGAUGUGAAAGCCCACGGCUCAACCGUGGAGGGUCAUUGGAAACUGGAAAACUUGAGUGCAGAAGAGGAAAGUGGGAUUCCAUGUGUAGCGGUGAAAUGCGCAGAGAUAUGGAGGAACACCAGUGGCGAAGGCGACUUUCUGGUCUGUAACUGACGCUGAUGUGCGAAAGC
rnacentral:rRNA from 1 species